rnacentral:rRNA from 1 species
GGAAAAGAAACCAACAGGGAUUGCCCUAGUAACGGCGAGUGAAGCGGCAACAGCUCAAAUUUGAAAUCUGGCGUCUUUGGCGUCCGAGUUGUAAUUUGCAGAGGGCGCUUUGGCAUUGGCAGCGGUCCAAGUUCCUUGGAACAGGACGUCACAGAGGGUGAGAAUCCCGUACGUGGUCGCUAGCCUUUACCGUGUAAAGCCCCUUCGACGAGUCGAGUUGUUUGGGAAUGCAGCUCUAAAUGGGAGGUAAAUUUCUUCUAAAGCUAAAUACUGGCCAGAGACCGAUAGCGCACAAGUAGAGUGAUCGAAAGAUGAAAAGCACUUUGGAAAGAGAGUUAAAAAGCACGUGAAAUUGUUGAAAGGGAAGCGCUUGCAGCCAGACUUGCCUGUAGUUGCUCAUCCGGGUUUUUACCCGGUGCACUCUUCUAUAGGCAGGCCAGCAUCAGUUUGGGCGGUUGGAUAAAGGUCUCUGUCAUGUACCUCUCUUCGGGGAGAACUUAUAGGGGAGACGACAUGCAACCAGCCUGGACUGAGGUCCGCGCAUCUGCUAGGAUGCUGGCGUAAUGGCUGUAAGCGGCCCGUCUUGAAACACGGACCAAGGAGUCUAACAUCUAUGCGAGUGUUUGGGUGUCAAGCCCGAGCGCGUAAUGAAAGUGAACGGAGGUGGGAACCUUUCGGGGUGCACCAUCGACCGAUCCUGAUGUCUUCGGAUGGAUUUGAGUAAGAGCAUAGCUGUUGGGACCCGAAAGAUGGUGAACUAUGCUUGAAUAGGGUGAAGCCAGAGGAAACUCUGGUGGAGGCUCGCAGCGGUUCUGACGUGCAAAUCGAUCGUCAAAUUUGGGCAUAGGGGCGAAAGACUAAUCGAACUAU